GACGAACGCUGGCGGCGUGCCUAAUACAUGCAAGUCGAGCGAGUCUGCCUUGAAGAUCGGAGUGCUUGCACUCUGUGAAACAAGAUACAGGCUAGCGGCGGACGGGUGAGUAACACGUGGGUAACCUGCCCAAGAGAUCGGGAUAACACCUGGAAACAGAUGCUAAUACCGAAUAACAACAGAUGAUGCCUAUCAACUGUUUAAAAGAUGGUUCUGCUAUCACUCUUGGAUGGACCUGCGGUGCAUUAGCUAGUUGGUAGGGUAACGGCCUACCAAGGCGAUGAUGCAUAGCCGAGUUGAGAGACUGAUCGGCCACAUUGGGACUGAGACACGGCCCAAACUCCUACGGGAGGCAGCAGUAGGGAAUCUUCCACAAUGGACGCAAGUCUGAUGGAGCAACGCCGCGUGAGUGAAGAAGGGUUUCGGCUCGUAAAGCUCUGUUGUUGGUGAAGAAGGACAGGGGUAGUAACUGACCUUUGUUUGACGGUAAUCAAUUAGAAAGUCACGGCUAACUAAGUG
rnacentral:rRNA from 1 species